rnacentral:rRNA from 1 species
UACGUAGGGGGCAAGCGUUGUCCGGAAUCAUUGGGCGUAAAGAGCGCGUAGGCGGCCCAGUAAGUCCGCUCUGAAAGUCAGGGGCUCAACCCCUGAAUGCGGGUGGAUACUGCUGGGCUAGAGUCCGGAAGAGGUGAGUGGAAUUCCUGGUGUAGCGGUGAAAUGCGCAGAUAUCAGGAAGAACACCCGUGGCGAAGGCGGCUCUCUGGGACGGUACUGACGCUGAGACGCGAAAGCGUGGGGAGCGAACAGG